rnacentral:misc_RNA from 1 species
AAUGAAGCUGCUGCAAAGAAGUUUGAGCAGGCUUCAGUAAAAAGGUCAUAUAAGCCGGCCUGCCAAGUUUUCCAUCUUAAAUCAUAUCAUUGAGAAUCUCUACAUCACUUCAAGCAUUUGCUCUUGAUGCUUCUUGGCAAAAAAACAUGCCAAUAAGCACCUUAGGCACCCAUGGUUAAAUUGUUCUAUAGAAAUUACAUUUGCUUUGUUUUUUGUGUCAUCC